rnacentral:lncRNA from 10 species
AGGGUGGUGUACUGGAGCCAGGCCCUUUCUGCCUAAGCAGGACACUCAAAGAGGCAGUCUUUGCCCUGCAGCCCUCCACUGGCCCAGCCAACACUCUCUCAGAGCUUAGACAUCUGCUUCUCAGAGCACCCAAACUGACAGGGUGUAUCCAGUAUAUUUGAUUCUGAAGCUAGAGAGACCCAGCUGGCCAUACACAUUGGGGAAUCAUUGACAGAUGGCAGCUGAGAUCUGAGAGCGGUUGACCUCACUUCACAAGGUUGAGUGGAAUUAGGAGGGACAAACUUCUGUGACAGGAGCCUGAGGAGCACCAAACAGUGGUUGGACUGAAAUCCAGUAUGAAUCAUAUAAGAGAGAUUUAGAAGCACGUGAAGAUAAAUGUUUCCCAUGUGACACAGAGCAGCACAUCUGGAAGGUGAUCCUAUAUAAAUAAAUAAUCU